rnacentral:rRNA from 1 species
CCUACGGGUGGCAGCAGUGGGGAAUAUUGCACAAUGGGGGAAACCCUGAUGCAGCGACGCCGCGUGAGUGAAGAAGUAAUUCGUUACGUAAAGCUCUAUCAGCAGGGAAGAAAUACUGACCUUACGAUAAGCAGACGGUACCUAAGUAAGAAGCCCCGGCUAACUACGUGCCAGAGGCCGCGGUAAUACCGAGGGGGCAAGCGUUAUCCGGAUUUACUGGGUGUAAAGGGAGCGUAGACGGUGCGCCAAGUCUGGAGUGAAAUGCCGCAGCUGAACCGCGGCACUGCUUUGGAAACUGGCGAACUAGAGUGCAGGAGGGGUAAGCGGAAUUCCUAGUGUAGCGGUGAAAUGCGUAGAUAUUAGGAGGAACACCAGUGGCGAAGGCGGCUUACUGGACCGUAACUGACGUUGAGGCUCGAAAGCGUGGGGAGCAAACAGGAUUAGAUACCCUGGUAGUC